UACGUAGGGUGCAAGCGUUAAUCGGAAUUACUGGGCGUAAAGCGUGCGCAGGCGGUUGUGCAAGACAGAUGUGAAAUCCCCGGGCUCAACCUGGGAAUUGACAUUUGUGACUGCACGGCUAGAGUGUGUCAGAGGGGGGUAGAAUUCCACGUGUAGCAGUGAAAUGCGUAGAGAGUGUGGAGGAAUACCGAUGGCGAAGGC
rnacentral:rRNA from 1 species